rnacentral:rRNA from 1 species
CAGCAGCCGCGGUAAGACAGAGGAUGCAAGCGUUAUCCGGAAUGAUUGGGCGUAAAGCGUCUGUAGGUGGCUUUUCAAGUCCGCCGUCAAAUCCCAGGGCUCAACCCUGGACAGGCGGUGGAAACUACCAAGCUGGAGUACGGUAGGGGCAGAGGGAAUUUCCGGUGGAGCGGUGAAAUGCGUAGAGAUGUGGAGGAACACCAGUGGCGAAGGCGACUCUCUGGUCUGUAACUGACGCUGAGGAGCGAAAGCGUGGGGAGCGAACAGGAUUAGAGACCCCCGUAGUCCCUGUCUCUUAUAC